rnacentral:rRNA from 1 species
AUUGAACGCUGGCGGCAGGCCUAACACAUGCAAGUCGAGCGGAUGAAGGGAGCUUGCUCCUUGAUUCAGCGGCGGACGGGUGAGUAAUGCCUAGGAAUCUGCCUGGUAGUGGGGGAUAACGUCCGGAAACGGACGCUAAUACCGCAUACGUCCUGCGGGAGAAAGUGGGGGAUCUUCGGACCUCACGCUAUCAGAUGAGCCUAGGUCGGAUUAGCUAGUUGGUGGGGUAAAGGCCUACCAAGGCGACGAUCCGUAACUGGUCUGAGAGGAUGAUCAGUCACACUGGAACUGAGACACGGUCCAGACUCCUACGGGAGGCAGCAGUGGGGAAUAUUGGACAAUAGGCGAAAGCCUGAUCCAGCCAUGCCGCGUGUGUGAAGAAGGUCUUCGGAUUGUAAAGCACUUUAAGUUGGGAGGAAGGGCAGUAAGUUAAUACCUUGCUGUUUUGACGUUACCAACAGAAUAAGCACCGGCUAACUUCGUG